ACUGUUAAUGCGGCCAUAUUUUUCUAUACAAUAACGUAUGGCGGUCUCAAGCCCGAUAACGUAGAGAGCAGU
rnacentral:ribozyme from 2 species